UGACCACUUCUUGAGUACAGGAAGUUAAGGCCAUACGGACAGCCGGGUCAAAUGCCGA
rnacentral:sRNA from 1 species